GUUGCUAUAGCUCAGGGAUAGAGCAUUUGACUACAGAUCAAGAGGUCCCUGGUUCAAAUCCAGGUGCCAAUG
rnacentral:tRNA from 2 species